rnacentral:rRNA from 2 species
ACCAGGCUUACACAUGUCAAGUCGAGCGGGCACUUUCGGGUUGUCAGCGGCGGACGGGUGAGUAACGCGUGGGAACGUGCCUUCUGGUUCGGAAUAACUCAGGGAAACUUGAGCUAAUACCGGAUACGCCCUUUUGGGGAAAGGUUUACUGCCGGAAGAUCGGCCCGCGUCUGAUUAGCUAGUUGGUGGGGUAACGGCCUACCAAGGGCGACGAUCAGUAGCUGGUCUGAGAGGAUGAUCAGCCACACUGGGACUGAGACACGGCCCAGACUCCUACGGGAGGCAGCAGUGGGGAAUAUUGGACAAUGGGGGCAACCCUGAUCCAGCCAUGCCGCGUGAGUGAUGAAGGCCUUAGGGUUGUAAAGCUCUUUUAUCCGGGACGAUAAUGACGGUACCGGAGGAAUAAGCCCCGGCUAACUUCGUGCCAGCAGCCGCGGUAAUACGAAGGGGGCUAGCGUUGCUCGGAAUCACUGGGCGUAAAGGGCGCGUAGGCGGUCUUUUAAGUCGGGGGUGAAAGCCUGUGGCUCAACCACAGAAUUGCCUUCGAUACUGGGAGACUUGAGUUCGGAAGAGGUUGGUGGAACUGCGAGUGUAGAGGUGAAAUUCGUAGAUAUUCGCAAGAACACCGGUGGCGAAGCGGCCAACUGGUCCGACACUGACGCUGAGGCGCGAAAGCGUGGGGA